rnacentral:rRNA from 1 species
CUACGUGCCAGCAGCCGCGGUAAUACGGAAGGUCCAGGCGUUAUCCGGAUUUAUUGGGUUUAAAGGGAGCGUAGGCCGUGGAUUAAGCGUGUUGUGAAAUGUAGACGCUCAACGUCUGAAUUGCAGCGCGAACUGGUUCACUUGAGUAUGCACAACGUAGGCGGAAUUCGUCGUGUAGCGGUGAAAUGCUUAGAUAUGACGAAGAACUCCGAUUGCGAAGGCAGCUUACGGGAGCACAACUGACGCUGAAGCUCGAAGGUGCGGGUAUCAAACAGGAUUAGAUACCCUGGUAGUCCGCACAGUAAACGAUGGAUGCCCGUUGUUAGUUCACUUACGAAUUAGCGACCAAGCGAAAGCAUUAAGCAUCCCACCUGGGGAGUACGCCGGCAACGGUGAAACUCAAAGGAAUUGACGGGGGCCCGCACAAGCGGAGGAACAUGUGGUUUAAUUCGAUGAUACGCGAGGAACCUUACCCGGGCUUGAAUUGCAGACGAACGAUUCAGAGAUGAUGAGG